ACGGGUGAGUAACGCGUAGGAAUCUACCCAAUAGCGGGGGAUAGCCCGGGGAAACUCGGAUUAAUACCGCAUAAUCUCUACGGAGUAAAGGGGGCCUCUAUUUAUAAGCUUUCACUAUUUGAUGAGCCUGCGUAAGAUUAGCUUGUUGGUGAGGUAAAGGCUCACCAAGGCGACGAUCUUUAGCGGGUCUGAGAGGACGAUCCGCCACAUUGGGACUGAGACACGGCCCAGACUCC
rnacentral:rRNA from 1 species